CCCUUAGAGUUUGAUCCUGGCUCAGGAUGAACGCUGGCGGCGUGCUUAACACAUGCAAGUCGAGCGAAGCACUUUGGAAAGAUUCUUCGGAUGAUUUCCUUUGUGACUGAGCGGCGGACGGGUGAGUAACGCGUGGGUAACCUGCCUCAUACAGGGGGAUAACAGUUAGAAAUGACUGCUAAUACCGCAUAAGACCACGGUACCGCAUGGUACAGUGGUAAAAACUCCGGUGGUAUGAGAUGGACCCGCGUCUGAUUAGGUAGUUGGUGGGGUAACGGCCUACCAAGCCGACGAUCAGUAGCCGACCUGAGAGGGUGACCGGCCACAUUGGGACUGAGACACGGCCCAGACUCCUACGGGAGGCAGCAGUGGGGAAUAUUGCACAAUGGAGGAAACUCUGAUGCAGCGACGCCGCGUGAAGGAUGAAGUAUUUCGGUAUGUAAACUUCUAUCAGCAAGGAAGAA
rnacentral:rRNA from 1 species